GGCAUUCGACGCUCAUUCCCGCGCACAACUUCCGUCGCAUUGCAGUCGCAUUCUCUGCCGAGAAUUAGGGUUCUUAAGUUAUAGUUUACAUAGUCAUGUGACCGGGGCUCUACACCGAGAUCGGCACAAAGUUUGCGCUUGGAUUGGAGAUUUGGCAAUGGCAUGGUUUUGGAGUUGACAAAGGAAAGGUUAAAAGUGUGCCAGAUGAAACGAGCGGGCGACCUUCUUUCAAAAAGUGGUAGGAAUCCCAUCCGCGGCCCUGCCAAGUUCGUAGUUAAUUUUCUUAACCCUAGGCCCCCAAACUCGAUUCAUUCCAGGCCUCUCUUUCUCCCACGACCUCGCACUCGACUAACCUUUUUUUUUUUUUCACUCCCACCGCCAUAGUCUUCUUCGUCACCUUCGUCGACUUUUUGUUAUCCGGCUUCUCCCUAUUCUAAUUCCUCACCUUCGGCGUCCUUUUUGGCUUCGUCUUCUUCGGACGUUUUUUCAUGAAGCACUAUGGUCGUGUGGAUUAUUAUGCCUUUAUGCCAAGUCGAAACUCCAGAAACAAUACAGCUUUUUUGACGAACAGUCUCUGUACGGGCUGCCCAAAGUUCUUUUCCAUGAGGACAAGGAAAGUGUUAGUGACAACAUUCUGCAUGGAAAAGAUGUCUUGGUGGUUAUGGCAAUGGACUCUGGAAAGUUCUUGUGAAUUCAAUUGAUAAAGCUAUCAGAUGCUGCCAUUAAUUGUGAAAAAGAUUGCUGUGGUCAUUUGCCCACUUAUCUCGCCAAUGCAAGAUCCAUUGAGUUGAUAAAGCUAUCAGGUGUUGCAAUUGAUUGUGAAAAAAGAUUUAUGUGGUUAUUGCUUUGAAGUAGAGGGAUGGCUACCUCUCUAGAGCUCAGAUACAAAUGUGGCAAAUAAAGCUGGAAGCGGUCAGUGUGAUAUUCUGUAAAUGAUGCCAGCGAAAGUCUGCUUCCUGCCAGGCAAGAUUACUGGAUUCUGGAGUAUUGGCUAUUGCUGAAUGGGAUCAUAAACGAGGGGUUUCGUAAUAAUUGAUGUGCUUGGUUUUAGUUUCAUUUGUUUCAACUAAGAAAACUGUCUUUGGAGCAUGGGGAUGGAAUACGAACAAUUGAACAGAUUGUGAGAUGUUCUUUUCGAUGGCUCGUGGGGUGCAAGCAUUAAACUGCAAUUGAUAAAAUAAAAUUUCAGCGAAGCCAAAUUUAUGUAGGCCCAACUCCCGACAGGAUCAGCUGCAGCUGUAGAGGCCCAUUGUGCCCAACGAUUUAUGACCCAUAUUUUAAUCAAAAAUGCCCAAUGUGUACCCCAGAAGCCGACCGGAUAGCAUGUCUGCCCUGAUGCAAACAGAAACUCGUGCUGUGUCAAAUCCCAAAUGGCCCAAUCUAGUUUUAGAGCUACCCCAAAGAGCCCAGUCCUUUUUUGGUUCAUGCUAAUGUGACCCGAUGUAAUAUCACUAUAGGCCCAUUAGAUAGGCCCAGUUGGUGUCACCCAAAAGCCGACAGCAUCACAUGCAGUCUACCCAAUUCGAACAUACGCACGUGCUGUUAAGAGGCCCAAGUGCCCGAAUAUCGUUUCAGAGCAGGCCCAAAGAGUCCAAUUAUAUUUUUGUUCAUAGUCUUACGGCCCAAUGUUACAUCACUGUAGCCCCAUUAGACAGGCCCAACUUCUGUAACCCCAGAGCCGACAAGAUCAAAUGCUGUCGGCCCAGAUUUAGACGUAACCCCUUGAAGUUGUUAUGAUUCAACUGGCCUUAUGUGAUAUCACCGCAGGCCCAUUGGACAGGCCCAAUUAUUGUCACCUAAUAACCGACAUGAUCAAAUGCUGUCUGUCCGGUUCAGCUGUACCCACUUGGCCCAACGUUAUAUCACUGCUGGCCCAUUAUACAGGCCCAACUGUUGUCACCCAAAAGCCGACAGGAUUACAUGCUGUCUCCCGUAUACUCAACAAACCCACUUGCUAUGUUUUAAACUCAUCAGGCCCUGGUGCUGUUUCCGUCCUGGCCCAACUGACCCAAUAUAGUCUUAUGGCUGGCCCAGAGUCCAAUUAUGUUUUCAUUCAUACUCUUACGGCCCAAUAUAAUAUCACAGUAGGUCCAUUGGACAGGCCCAAUUGUUGUCAGCCAAGUGCCGACAAUAUCACAUGCUGUCUGCUCAGAUUCAGACAUACCCACGUGAAGAUGUCAUAGCCUAACUAGCCUAAUGGAAUAUCACUGCAGGCCCAAUUGUUGUGACCAAAAAGCCGAGUCUCCCACAUACUCGACAGACCCACGUGCGGUGUUUAGAAUUCACCAGGCCCAGUGCUGUUUCCAUCCUGAUCCAGGGCUCAUUAGUAUUUCAGCAUAGCAAUUCUGACAGGCCCAACUAUUGUAACACAACGGCGACAAAGGGACUGUCCUCCCAGACCCAGACAAAUCCACGUGCAAGUGCUAACGUCGGAUAUGACGUGUCGCCACCGCUGACCUGGCAAAGUCACGCUCUUAUGUAAAGGCCGGUCCGGCCCAUUUUAUUUUAUCAGUUUUCAGCCCAAAUCCAAUACAUGCCCAGCCGCCUUCCUCCAGGCUGCUUUGAUUGAUAGCAAUCU